CGGAUUAGUGGCGAACGGGUGAGUAAUGCUUAGGAAUCUGCCUAUUAGUGGGGGAUAACGUAGGGAAACUUACGCUAAUACCGCAUACGACCUACGGGUGAAAGGGGGCUUUUAGCUCUCGCUAAUAGAUGAGCCUAAGUCGGAUUAGCUAGUUGGUGGGGUAAAGGCCUACCAAGGCGACGAUCUGUAGCUGGUCUGAGAGGAUGAUCAGCCACACUGGGACUGAGACACGGCCCAG
rnacentral:rRNA from 1 species